rnacentral:misc_RNA from 1 species
GAUGAAGAACGUAGCGAAAUGCGAUAAGUAAUGUGAAUUGCAGAAUUCCGUGAAUCAUCGAAUCUUUGAACGCACAUUGCGCCCCCUGGCAUUCCGGGGGGCAUGCCUGUCCGAGCGUCAUUUCUGCCCUCCAGCCCGGCUGGGUGUUGGGCGCUGUCCCCCCGGGGACACGCCCCAAAGGCAGUGGCGGCGCCGCGUCGGGUCCUCGAGCGUAUGGGGCUUUGUCACCCGCUCGGGACGGGCUCGUCGGCGCUGGUCUUCCUCCAGGCGACCCUUCGGGGCUCGUCUUCCUUCGGUUGACCUCGGAUCAGGUAGGGUUACCCGCUGAACUUAAGCAUAUCAAUAAGCGGAGGA